GACGUAGGGCGCGAGCGUUGUCCGGAUUUAUUGGGCGUAAAGAGCUCGUAGGCGGCUUGUCGCGUCGAAUGUGAAAACUCGGGGCUCAACUCCGAGCUUGCAUUCGAUACGGGCAGACUAGAGUACUGCAGGGGAGCUGGAAUUCCUGGUGUAGCGGUGAAAUGCGCAGAUAUCAGGAGGAACACCGGUGGCGAAGGCGGGUCUCUGGGCAGU
rnacentral:rRNA from 1 species